UUGUCGAAUGUCAAAAAGAAGAAAUAUGUGAUUUUCAGCUCUUGUCUAUUUUGCUGUUUAUGAAGAUAGUAGUAAUAAAGAUUACAACUUUACCUAUAUAUAAAUCUUGAAAAUACUACUCUCUCCUACUAUUCAUUUUCGAUACAAACAAGAUAUGCACAACUUCAAAUCAACACCAUCUAAUUUGAGGCGUUUUCUGCAUAAUUCCCCAUUGGUUUCUCGUUGCAGAAGCUUUUGUGGUGUCUCUACCAAUGCCCUUGUUGAUGAACCCGAAAGCACUGUUCUAGUGGAGGGGAAUGCUUCAUCAAGAACAGCGAUUCUUAAUAGACCCCAUGUAUUAAAUGCCAUCAAUUGUUCAACCGCGGCAAGGAUGAUGAAGCUGUACAAAAAUUGGGAGGAUGAUCCUGAUAUUGGUUUUGUGGUAUUGAAGGGAAGUGGCAAGGCAUUCUCUGCUGGUGGUGACGUUGUCGCUCUUUAUAAUUUGCUAAAGCAAGGGAAUUUUCAAGGCUGUAAAGAAACCUUUUGGACAGCAUAUAACUUUGUAUAUGUAGUUGGCACAUACUUGAAGCCACAAGUUGCUCUUUUGAAUGGAGUUACCAUGGGUGGUGGGGCUGGCAUCUCAAUUCCUGGAACUUUCCGUGUUGCAACUGAGAAAACUGUCUUUGCCACACCAGAAACAUUGAUUGGAUACCAUCCUGAUGCUGGGGCGUCAUUUUACCUUUCCCGCCUCCCUGGUUAUUUGGGAGAGUACCUGGCCCUAACUGGAGAUAAGAUGAGUGGAGCUGAAAUGAUUUCCUGUGGGCUUGCUACACACUACUCACACAGUGCAAAACUUCCCUUAAUUGAGGAACAACUUGGAACGCUGAUUACUGAUGAUCCCUCAGUGAUUGAAAGAUCUCUUGAAAAUUAUGGAGAGAUUGUCCAUCCAGAUCCGGCGAGUGUACUUUACAGAUUUGAAGCACCUUUUCUAGCUAAUCAAGCAUGCACCAGUCAGUUGACCAACCUAGAUCUUCAGGGAAUCCCUCAAUAUUUCCUAUCUGACAUAGAAACAAUCCUUUGGCUUAUUGAAAUCAGACGUAGACGUUCUGCUGCCUGGCUUCAUCUUUUACUUGCUGCAGGAAAGCAAGUCAUAGGAUUGAAACUCUUGAUAAAUGUUUCAGCCAUGACACAGUCGAAGAAAUUGUUGAUGCUUUGGAGACCGAGGCAGCCAAGAAACAAGAUGCAUGGUGUGUUGCAACAUCGAGAAAAUUACAACAAACAUCCUCACUGAGUCUGAAGGUUUCACUGAGAUCUAUACGCGAAGGUAGACAUCAGACUCUGGAUCAGUGCCUUAGGCGUGAGUAUCGGAUGUCACUACAAGCUUUAUAUGGACAAAUAUCUAGUGACUUCUGUGAGGGGGUUCGCUCGCGGCUUGUGGAUAGAGAUCUUGCACCUAAGUGGGAUCCUCCAAGCUUGGAGAAAGUAACUGAUGACAUGGUCGAUCAGUACUUUUCUCGUCUAACAGCAUCCGAGCCUGAACUGGAGCUACCUACACAACAGCGAGAAGCAUUUACAUAAUUUUUGGGUUGGGAAACUUCUCAACUUUGAAGCUAACAGAAGAAAAUAGGAAAAGGGGAAACAAAAUAUGUGAAUGUCAUUUAUCUUUAUUUACAGAAGAAAACAUUCAGCAUUUCAUUCUUGAUUUAGUUGCAUUUGCAAAUAUGCUUUUUCCUAUACUGAAAAUAACCAAGGAUAUGCCUUGCCAAUAUGAUUCACAAAAUUGACAGUUUGGGAAGUCAAAUAGAUUGACAUUUCAUUUCA